rnacentral:rRNA from 1 species
UACGUAGGGGGCGAGCGUUAUCCGGAAUUACUGGGUGUAAAGGGAGCGUAGACGGCGAAGUAAGCCUGAAGUGGAAGCCCGCGGCCCAACCGCGGAACUGCUUUGGGAACUGCUUAGCUGGAGUAUGGGAGGGGUAAGCGGAAUUCCUGGUGUAGCGGUGAAAUGCGUAGAUAUCAGGAGGAACACCGGUGGCGAAGGCGGCUUACUGGACCAUGACUGACGUUGAGGCUCGAAAGCGUGGGGAGCGAACGGG